UACAGAGGGGGCAAGCGUUGUUCGGAAUUACUGGGCGUAAAGGGCGCGUAGGCGGCCCGCUAAGUCGAACGUGAAAUCCCCGAGCUCAACUCGGGAACCGCGCCCGAUACUGGUGGGCUUGAAUCCGGGAGAGGGAUGCGGAAUUCCAGGUGUAGCGGUGAAAUGCGUAGAUAUCUGGAGGAACACCGGUGGCGAAGGCGGCAUCCUGGACCGGCAUUGACGCUGAGGCGCGAAAGCUAGGGGAGCAAACGGG
rnacentral:rRNA from 1 species